rnacentral:rRNA from 1 species
GCGACGCCGCGUGAGGGAUGACGGCCUUCGGGUUGUAAACCUCUUUCGCCAGGGACGAAGCGCAAGUGACGGUACCUGGAGAAGAAGCACCGGCCAACUACGUGCCAGCAGCCGCGGUAAUACGUAGGGUGCGAGCGUUGUCCGGAAUUACUGGGCGUAAAGAGCUCGUAGGUGGUUUGUCGCGUUGUUCGUGAAAACUCACAGCUUAACUGUGGGCGUGCGGGCGAUACGGGCAGACUGGAGUACUGCAGGGGAGACUGGAAUUCCUGGUGUAGCGGUGGAAUGCGCAGAUAUCAGGAGGAACACCGGUGGCGAAGGCGGGUCUCUGGGCAGUAACUGACGCUGAGGAGCGAAAGCGUGGGGAGCGAACAGGAUUAGAUACCCUGGUAGUCCACGCCGUAAACGGUGGGUACUAGGUGUGGGUUUCCUUCCUUGGGAUCCGUGCCGUAGCUAACGCAUUAAGUACCCCGCCUGGGGAGUACGGCCGCAAGGCUAAAACUCAAAGGAAUUGACGGGGGCCCGCACAAGCGGCGGAGCAUGUGGAUUAAUUCGAUGCAACGCGAAGAACCUUACCUGGGUUUGACAUGCACAGGACGCCGGCAGAGAUGUCGGUUCCCUUGUGGCCUG